AAUAGCUAAUUGCAUUAUACUUUAAUGCAAUAUCAACUCUGUUGAAUAAAAUUCUGGGUAUUAUUAUGAUAAUGACAAAUUUUACCUAUGUGUCUUGACCAAAUUACGUGCCAGCAGUCGCGGUAAUACGUAGAAGACUAGUGUUAUUCAUCUUUAAUAGGUUUAAAGGGUACCUAGACGGUAAAUAAAGCCUUUGCAUUGCGAUACGGAACUAAUUUACUAGAGUUACUUACAAGGAGGCUAUGAAGUACUAAUGGUGUAGAGAUGAAAUUUUGUAAUACCAUUUCUCGAAAGAGAAGUAACGGCACUGAUAAAGGCGAAAGCAUCCUCUUAUGUGAUAACUGACGUUGAGGGACGAAGGCUUUGGGUCGCGAAUAGGAUUAGAUACCCUAGUAGUCAAAGCAGACAAUGAUGAGUGUCAUAGAUUAGAUUUUUUAUUUAUCAUAUGAUUUAUUCUAUAAAUGAAAGUGUAAGCACUCCACCUCAAGAGUAAUUUGGCAACAUUGGAACUGAAAUCAUUAGACCGUUUCUGAAACCAGUAGUGAAGUAUGUUGUUUAAUUUGAUAAUCCGCAAAACACCUUACCACAACUUGAAUAUAAAUAAUCUUUAAAAAAGAUAUUUUUACAUGCGUUGCACGGCUGUCUACAGUUAAUGUCGUGAGACUUUGGUUAGAUCCAUUAAAUUAACGCAAGCCCCUACUUUAUUUUUAAAUAAAGUCGUUCCCCAUUAUAUUGGAUAUGAUAACAGGGACUAAGACAAGUUAUCUUGGCCUUAAUGUUGUGGG
rnacentral:rRNA from 1 species